AGAGUUUGAUCCUGGCUCAGAACGAACGCUGGCGGCGUGCCUAACACAUGCAAGUCGAACGGAGAUAAGGGGCUUGCUCCUUAUUUUAGUGGCGCACGGGUGAGUAACGCGUGGAUAAUCUACCUUGGAAUCUGGGAUAACAUUUCGAAAGGGGUGCUAAUACCGGAUAAGACCACGAGCUCUUUGGAGUUUGCGGUAAAAGGGGGCCUCUGUAUAUGCUUCUGUUUCAAGAUGAGUCCGCGUACCAUUAGCUAGUUGGCAGGGUAAUGGCCUACCAAGGCGACGAUGGUUAGCUGGUCUGAGAGGAUGAUCAGCCACACUGGAACUGAGACACGGUCCAGACUCCUACGGGAGGCAGCAGUGGGGUUUUUUGCGCAAUGGGGGAAACCCUGACGCAGCAACGCCGCGUGAGUGAUGAAGGCCUUCGGGUCGUAAAGC
rnacentral:rRNA from 1 species